rnacentral:tRNA from 1 species
GGGCCCGUAGUCUAGCGGUAUGAUGCCCGCCUCACGCGCGGGUGGUCCCGGGUUCAGGGGAAACCCGCCUAAAAAUCCCGGCGGGCCCA